rnacentral:tRNA from 1 species
GCAGCUGUAGUAUAAUGGUUUAAGUAUGUCUGAUUGCCAGUCAGGAGAUAUGAGUUCGAUUCUCAUUAGCUGCAC